AUGAACGCUAGCGGCAGGCCUAAUACAUGCAAGUCGAACGCUCAGUAGCAAUACUGGGAGUGGCGCACGGGUGCGUAACGCGUACACAAUCUACCUCUAAGCGGGGGACACCUCCUGGAAACGGGGAUUAAUACCGCAUAAUAUGCCGAGGUCGCAUGACUUUGGUAUUAAAGCAGCAAUGCACUUAGAGAUGAGUGUGCGUCCCAUUAGGUAGUUGGUGAGGUAACGGCUCACCAAGCCUAUGAUGGGUAGCCGGUCUGAGAGGAUGGUCGGCCACACGGGCACUGAGACACGGGCCCGACUCCUACGGGAGGCAGCAGUAAGGAAUAUUGGUCAAUGGUGGAAACACUGAACCAGCCAUGCCGCGUGGAGGAAUAAGGUCCUACGGAUUGUAAACUCCUUUUGACGAGAAGAAAGUGUUAGAUUUAUCUAA
rnacentral:rRNA from 1 species